CAAGGCCUACGGGGGGCAGCAGUGGGGAAUAUUGCACAAUGGGGGAAACCCUGAUGCAGCGACGCCGCGUGAGUGAAGAAGUAUUUCGGUAUGUAAAGCUCUAUCAGCAGGGAAGAAAAAAGACGGUACCUGACUAAGAAGCCCCGGCUAACUACGUGCCAGCAGCCGCGGUAAUACGUAGGGGGCAAGCGUUAUCCGGAUUUACUGGGUGUAAAGGGAGCGUAGACGGCCAGACAAGUCUGAAGUGAAAAUCCAGCGCUUAACGUUGGAAGUGCUUUGGAAACUGCCGGGCUAGAGUGCAGGAG
rnacentral:rRNA from 1 species